rnacentral:lncRNA from 1 species
UAUUUCAAGAAGCAAGAGUUGCCUUCUUGAACAUCUCUAAUUUGCUAGCUUGCAUGAUAUAGAACUUGCUAUCUUGAACAUCUCUAAUUUUCAUACCAAGUGCUAUCUUGUAUACUGUAAAACUUGCACUUGAUAGCCUGAAUAUUCUAAGCAUGAUGUAACAUUUGCUAAAUUUUUUGGCUUCAAAACUGCAUGAUGAUAAAACUUGAUAUUAUGUUUUUCAUGCAAUGAGUUGAACCAAUAUCACAAACACUUGAUUGUGAUACUUCUCCUUUUUGUUGAUGACAAAGGGGGAGAAGUAUGUUGAUGAAAGUAUGUUGAUGACAUGACAUGUGAUGCAUAAGUUUAUGCAUAUGUUCAUGUUGACGUGUUGCAAGUAUUCAUGAUGAAUAUUGCAAUGACUUGAAUUCAGUUUGAAUUCAAGGUUCUAGGGGGAGUUUGUUUAAACUCUGGGAGUUAAGGUUAACUCCGUUUAUGAUGACAUGUUGCUUAGAUUUUUGAAUCUAAGAGUUUCUAUCAAUAAGGCAUAUUGAUAGGGGGAGUUUGUUUAAACUCCGGGAGUUAAGUUUAACUCCGUCAUCAAGUGGUUGUCAUCAUCAAAAAGGGGGAGAUUGUUGAAUCUCGUAUUUUGAUGAUGAAACUACUUGAUAUAUGUUUAUGAUUUAAUAUGCGUUUUGAGUGACGCAGGAUGCUUUGAUCAGGAUGAGACAAUUAAAGCAGGAACAUCAUGUUGUACCGG